GUUAUCUGAUUGCUUGGGUUGCCA
rnacentral:siRNA from 1 species